rnacentral:rRNA from 1 species
UACGGAGGGUGCAAGCGUUAUCCGGAUUCACUGGGUUUAAAGGGAGCGCAGGCGGAUUGGUAAGUCAGUGGUGAAAGGCUUGAGCUUAACUCGGGAACUGCCAUUGAUACUAUCAGUCUUGAAUAUUGUUGAGGUUUGCGGAAUGGGUCAUGUAGCGGUGAAAUGCAUAGAUAUGACCCGGAACACCCUAUUGCGAAGGCAGCAGGCUAAACAAAGAUUGACGCUGAGGCUCGAAAGCGUGGGGAUCAAAACAGG